UACGUAGGGUGCAAGCGUUAUCCGGAAUUAUUGGGCGUAAAGAGCUCGUAGGCGGUUUGUCGCGUCUGCUGUGAAAACUAGGGGCUCAACCCCCAGCCUGCAGUGGGUACGGGCAGACUAGAGUGCGGUAGGGGAGAUUGGAAUUCCUGGUGUAGCGGUGGAAUGCGCAGAUAUCAGGAGGAACACCGAUGGCGAAGGCAGAUCUCUGGGCCGUAACUGACGCUGAGGAGCGAAAGCAUGGGGAGCGAACAGG
rnacentral:rRNA from 1 species